rnacentral:rRNA from 1 species
UACGUAGGGUGCAAGCGUUAAUCGGAAUUACUGGGCGUAAAGCGUGCGCAGGCGGUGAUGUAAGACAGAUGUGAAAUCCCCGGGCUCAACUUGGGAACUGCAUUUGUGACUGCAUCGCUGGAGUGCGGCAGAGGGGGGUGGAAUUCCGCGUGUAGCAGUGAAAUGCGUAGAUAUGCGGAGGAACACCGAUGGCGAAGGCAAUCCCCUGGGCCUGCACUGACGCUCAUGCACGAAAGCGUGGGGAGCAAACAGG